AGCAGCCGCGGUAAUUCCAGCUCCAAUAGCGUAUAUUAAAGUUGUUGCAGUUAAAAGCUCGUAGUUGAAUUUCGGGGUUAGUAGGUCGGUCGUGCCACAGGUAUGUACUGGUCUCACUGAUUCCUCCUUCCUGAUGAACCGUAAUGCCAUUAAUUUGGUGUUGCGGGGAAACUGGACUGUUACUUUGAAAAAUUAGAGUGUUUAAAGCAGGCUAACGCUUGAAUACAUUAGCAUGGAAUAAUGAAAUAGGACGUUCGAUCCUAUUUUGUUGGUUUCUAGGAUUGACGUAAUGAUUAAUAGGGAUAGUUGGGGGCAUUAGUAUUCAAUUGUCAGAGGUGAAAUUCUUGGAUUUAUUGAAGACUAACUACUGCGAAAGCAUUUGCCAAGGAUGUUUUCA
rnacentral:misc_RNA from 1 species